UUCUUCUUCUUCCAUUUGAGGUUGUGUGAAGAUUACUACUGCCCAUCAAGUUGUGAUCUGUUGCCUCUCUUGAUCUAAAUCUUCAUCUUGGGACACUGUAUCUUCUGUCACAUGGCACGCCUCCAUUAUGGUCCUUCCUGCACGAUGGCUUGAAUCCCAAAUUGCCAUCUCCUGAAAGCAAAGGCAAAAGCAACCAAAAGGGAGAAGGCAACUCCACCAACACAAGCAAGCAAGCAAACAAAAAGCAGCACCAUCUGUUUCUAUCAUGUGUACCUCAAGGAAGCAAUGGUGUGUCUCCCAAUCAAACAACAACUUCUCUCAAGUCAUAUGAUGCAUUGAACUGUCUCUCUUCUCCAAUGGAUCAACCUUUUCUGAGGCUACAUGAUGCACUUGAGCUGUCUAAGGUCAUGGAAGCAAGACUACAUGCCCAUCUAUUAUUGUUCAUGCAUGACUCCCUUGUUCUUGCUCCUCUUCUGCAGGUAUAUCUUUAGACUGUAUCAGAGGCCAACCUAUAUAAUGGCCUGUCCCAAUUGUGGUCCUAAAAUCCCUAUAGAUAUAUAGUUCAGCA
rnacentral:lncRNA from 1 species